rnacentral:rRNA from 1 species
UACGAAGGGUGCAAGCGUUACUCGGAAUUACUGGGCGUAAAGCGUGCGCAGGCGGUUAUGCAAGACAGAUGUGAAAUCCCCGGGCUCAACCUGGGAACUGCAUUUGUGACUGCAUAGCUAGAGUACGGUAGAGGGGGAUGGAAUUCCGCGUGUAGCAGUGAAAUGCGUAGAUAUGCGGAGGAACACCGAUGGCGAAGGCAAUCCCCUGGACCUGUACUGACGCUCAUGCACGAAAGCGUGGGGAGCAAACAGG